AGCAGCCGCGGUAAUUCCAGCUCCAAUAGCGUAUAUUAAAGUUGUUGCAGUUAAAAAGCUCGUAGUUGAAUUUCGGGAUCAAAGAAUCGGUCAUGCCUUGGUAUGUACUGGUUUUAUUGGUUCUCACCUUCUAAAGAACCAUGAUGUCAUUCAUUUGAUGUUAUGGGGAAUUAGGACUGUUACCUUGAAAAAAUUAGAGUGUUUAAAGCAAGCUUACGCUUGAAUACAUUAGCAUGGAAUAAUGAAAUAGGACAUCAGAUUCUAUUUUGUUGGUUUCUAGGAUCGAUGUAAUGAUUAAUAGGGAUAGUUGGGGGCAUUAGUAUUCAAUUGCCAGAGGUGAAAUUCUUGGAUUUAUUGAAGACUAACUACUGCGAAAGCAUUUGCCAAGGAUGUUUUCAUUAAUCAAGAACGAAAGUUAGGGGAUCGAAGACGAUCAGAUACCGUCGUAGUCUUAACCAUAAACUAUGCCGACUAGGGAUCGGAUGAUGUUAAUUUUUUAAUGACUCA
rnacentral:rRNA from 1 species